rnacentral:rRNA from 1 species
GACGAACGCUGGCGGCGUGCCUAAGACAUGCAAGUCGAGCGGGGCUUCGGGGCUUCGGCCCUGAAGCCCAGCGGCGGACGGGUGAGUAACACGUGGAUAACCUGCCCUCUGCUCUGGGAUAACAGGCCGAAAGGCCUGCUAAUACCGGAUAAGCUCACGGCCCCGCAUGGGGCUGGGAGAAAAGGCGCUGGAGUCAGUGGCGCUGGCAGAGGAGGGGUCCGCGGCCCAUUAGCUGGUUGGCGGGGUAACGGCCCACCAAGGCGACGAUGGGUAGCCGGCCUGAGAGGGCGACCGGCCACACUGGGACUGAGACACGGCCCAGACUCCUACGGGAGGCAGCAGUCGGGAAUUUUGCACAAUGGCCGAAAGGCUGAUGCAGCAACGCCGCGUGAGCGAAGAAGGCCUUCGGGUUGUAAAGCUCUGUUGCCUGCGAAGAAGGGCCCCGUCAGGAAAUGGGCGGGGUUUGACGGUAGCAGGCGAGGAAGCCCCGGCAAACUACGUGCCAGCAGCCGCGGUAAUACGUAGGGGGCGAGCGUUGUCCGGAAUUACUGGGCGUAAAGGGCGUGUAGGCGGCCUGUUAAGUCGGGGGUGAAAGACCGGGGCUCAACCCCGGGGGUGCCUCUGAAACUGGCGGGCUUGAGUGCUCUAGAGGGCAGUGGAAUUCCCGGUGUAGCAGUGAAAUGCGUAGAGAUCGGGAGGAACACCAGUGGCGAAGGCGGCUGCCUGGGGAGUCACUGACGCUGAGGCGCGAAAGCUAGGGGAGCAAACAGGAUUAGAUACCCUGGUAGUCCUAGCCGUAAACGAUGAGUGCUAUGUGUGAGGGGUAUCGACCCCCCUCGUGCAGGAACUAACGCACUAAGCACUCCGCCUGGGGAGUACGGCCGCAAGGUUGA